rnacentral:misc_RNA from 1 species
UGCACUGUUGAGAGUGGAGCC